AAGGUUGUUCCAACAAGUCCAUUACAGUCAUGAUAUAACAAUACUGUUACAACCUUGUAUCGUCAACCUUGUAACAUUCUUGUUAUCUCAUGACUGUAUCAGAAUUGUUAGAACAACCUU